rnacentral:rRNA from 1 species
UGAGGAACAUGACCUUCGGCGGGGGAUAGCCGGCCCAACGGCCGGGUAAUACCGCGUACGACCUUUUGGGGACAUCCCUGAUUGGUGAAAGCAGCAAUGCGCCGAAAGNGUGCCUCGCGGCCUAUCAGCUAGUUGGUGGGGUAAUGGCUCACCAAGGCGACGACGGGUANCUGGUCUGAGAGGAUGGCCAGCCACAGUUGGGACUGAGACACGGCCCAGACCUCCGUACGGGGAG